GCGCUCGUAGCUCAGCAUGGAUAGAGCGAAGGUUUCCUAAACCUUAGGUCGCAGGUUCGAGUCCUGCCGGGCGCACCA
rnacentral:tRNA from 1 species